UACGAAGGGUGCAAGCGUUACUCGGAAUUACUGGGCGUAAAGCGUGCGUAGGUGGUUUGUUAAGUCUGUUGUGAAAGCCCCGGGCUCAACCUGGGAAUGGCAAUGGAUACUGGCAGGCUAGAGUGCGGUAGAGGGAAGUGGAAUUUCCGGUGUAGCGGUGAAAUGCGUAGAGAUCGGAAAGAACACCAGUGGCGAAGGCGGCUUCCUGGACUCAUACUGACGCUGAGGCGCGAAAGCGUGGGGAGCAAACAGG
rnacentral:rRNA from 1 species